rnacentral:tRNA from 1 species
GGGAAUAUAUCUCAGUUGGUAGAGUUCUUGCCUCACAUGCACGAAGCCCUGUGUUCAAUUCACAGCCCCA